rnacentral:rRNA from 1 species
ACGAACGCUGGCGGCGUGCCUAAUACAUGCAAGUCAACGGUCUUUCUAUGGAAGCUUGCUUCCACUGAGAAGAUAGUGGCGAACGGGUGAGUAACACGUGGGUAACCUGCCCAUAAGAGGGGGGAUAACAUCCGGAAACGGGUGCUAAUACCGCAUAGUUUUCUUGAUCGCAUGAUCGGGAAAGGAAAGACGGCCUUUGUGCUGUCGCUUAUGGAUGGACCCGCGGCGUAUUAGUUAGUUGGUGAGGUAACGGCUCACCAAGACGAUGAUACGUAGCCGACCUGAGAGGGUGAUCGGCCACAUUGGGACUGAGACACGGCCCAAACUCCUACGGGAGGCAGCAGUAGGGAAUCUUCCGCAAUGGACGAAAGUCUGACGGAGCAACGCCGCGUGAGUGAAGAAAGGUUUUCGGAUCGUAAAACUCUGUUGUCAGAGAAGAACAAGUUGGAGAGUAACUGCUCCAGCCUUGACGGUAUCUGACCAGAAAGCCACGGCUAACUACGUGCCAGCCGCUGC